GACGAACGCUGGCGGCGUGCUUAACACAUGCAAGUCGAACGGUGAAGCGCUUUCCUUUUUGGUUGGUGUGGAUGAGUGGCGAACGGGUGAGUAACACGUGAGUAACCUGCCCCCUUCUUCUGGAUAACCGCAUGAAAGUGUGGCUAAUACGGGAUAUUCUGCGCCUGCUGCAUGGUGGGUGUGGGAAAGAUUGUGCCUUUGGGUGUUUUCGGUGGGGGAUGGGCUCGCGGCCUAUCAGCUUGUUGGUGGGGUGAUGGCCUACCAAGGCGGUGACGGGUAGCGGGCCUGCGAGGGUGGGCGGUCACAGUGGGACUGAGACCCGGGCCAGACUCCUACGGGAGGCAGCAGUGGGGAAUAUUGCACAAUGGGCGAAAGCCUGAUGCAGCGACGCCGCGUGAGGGAUGGAGGCCUUCGGGUUGUGAACCUCUUUCGCCAGUGAAGCAGGCCUGCUCCUUGUGGGUGGGUUGACGGUAGCUGGAUAAGAAGCGCCGGCUAACUACGUG
rnacentral:rRNA from 1 species